rnacentral:rRNA from 1 species
UACGGAGGGGGGCUAGCGUUGUUCGGAAUUACUGGGCGUAAAGCGCACGUAGGCGGCUUUGUAAGUUAGAGGUGAAAGCCCGGGGCUCAACUCCGGAAUUGCCUUUAAGACUGCAUCGCUAGAAUUGUGGAGAGGUAAGUGGGAAUUCCGAGUGUAGAGGUGAAAUUCGUAGAUAUUCGGAAGAACACCAGUGGCGAAGGCGGCUCACUGGACCGGUAUUGACGCUGAGGUG